rnacentral:rRNA from 1 species
AACGCGAAGAACCUUACCUGGGCUCGAAAUGGAGUGGACAGGAGUGGAAACAUUCCCUCCCCGCAAGGGGCUGCUCUAUAGGUGCUGCAUGGCUGUCGUCAGCUCGUGUCGUGAGAUGUUGGGUUAAGUCCCGCAACGAGCGCAACCCUUAUUACCAGUUGCCAUCAUUCAGUUGGGCACUCCGGUGAGACCGCCUCGGAUAACGGGGAGGAAGGCGGGGAUGACGUCAAGUCCUCAUGGCCUUUAUGUCCAGGGCUACACACGUGCUACAAUGGUCGGUACAAACCGUCGCAAACCCGCGAGGGGGAGCUAAUCGGAAAAAGCCGGCCUCAGUUCGGAUCGCAGUCUGCAACUCGACUGCGUGAAGCUGGAAUCGCUAGUAAUCGCGGAUCAGAACGCCGCGGUGAAUACGUUCCCGGGCCUUGUA